rnacentral:misc_RNA from 1 species
GAUGAAGAACGCAGCGAAAUGCGAUAAGUAAUGUGAAUUGCAGAAUUCAGUGAAUCAUCGAAUCUUUGAACGCACAUUGCGCCCGCCAGUAUUCUGGCGGGCAUGCCUGUUCGAGCGUCAUUUCAACCCUCAAGACCCCUUCGGGGGACUUGGUGUUGGGGACCGGCUGUUCCCGGCCUGCUUCUUGCAGCGCCUUUAUGCCGCCCCCGAAAUGAAUUGGCGGCCUCGUCGCGGCCUCCCCUGCGUAGUAGCACAACCUCGCAACGGGAACGUGACGGCGGCCACUGCCGUAAAACAACCCAAUUUUAUUAGAGUUGACCUCGAAUCAGGUAGGAAUACCCGCUGAACUUAAGCAUAUCAAUAAGCGGAGGA